CAUCCUCGUCUCUCCCCACCACAUAUUCUUCAGCAUAUCCUCGAUUCCCUUCCUAUCUUCUCUGCCCAGUGGUAGCGGUGCAAGCUCGAUCCAGACCCCUUCUCCUCCUUCGGACCGAGGCCACACACACCACUGAGCUCCUCCUCCUCCUCCCCCUUCCUCCGCACGCGCUCAACGCCAGGUCAUGCAGGGAGCGCACACGCAGGGGCCUUAGUGGCUGUUGUCGCCGCCACCACACCCGGGCGUUGUCGCGCCACCGCCACCUCCUCCUCCCUCCUAGUUCGUCGGCCGUUGGUGCCCGCCCCCCUGCAUCUGCCACCGCCACCCCCUCUCUGGCUCACCUCCAUGCGUGAGGGCAACGAUGGUAGCGCCCGACGUCCACCGUCCCAGGCCCGUCCCUCGCCGACGGGAGAGUGCCGGUCUGCGGAUUGUAACCUCCUAUUACCGAGGAACUUUUUUAUUCCUUGAAUCACUCUUCCCACUUGCUGGAUUAAUUUCUUUGCUCUAUUCUCUUCUCUGCUUAUUGACUUGUGAUGCAGCAAGGCUGCCGAUGUAUAAAAAUUGACAUAUUAGGUGUAAAAGAGCGAGGUGAGACUAAGGCGGGGCGGUGCAGGAGGCGGCCGGCGGAGCGGGACAGGAGGCCGCCGGUGGAGUGCGGCGAGAUAGGAGGCUGCCGGCGGAGCGAGGCGAGGCAGGGCAGGAGGCAGCCGCUGGAUUAAUUUCUUUGCUCUAUUCUCGUCUCUGCUUAUUGACUUGUGAUGCAGCAAGGCCGCCGAUGUAUAAAAAUUGACAUAUUAGGUGUAAAAGAGCAAGGUGAGACUGAGGCGGGGCGGUGCAGGAGGCGGCCGGCGGAGCGGGACAGGAGGCUGCCGGUGGAGCGCGGCGAGAUAGGAGGCUGUCGGCGGAGCGAGGCAAGGCAGGGCAGGAGGCGGCCGGCGAAGCACGGUGAGUCGGGGCGACGCAGGAGGCGCCUUUCGGAGCGCGGCGAGGCGGGACGGGAUAGGAGGCGGAUGGCGGAGCAGGAGGCGGGGGAGCAGGAGGCGGGGCAGAGCGCGGAGAGGCAGAGGCGCGACUGUUUUUUUCCUUCGUACCGGUUCGGGCUGACUUAUCACGAGGACUGCGGGUUGAAUAACUACAACAGCAGGGACUUUUUUGCGAAAACGCCGACGACGUACAACAGAAACCUAAUUUGCUUUAUUAUUAGGUAAAGAUUUUUGUGGAUAGUAAUAUCGAAAUAAUAGGUUAGGAAUUAGGUCUGCUCCCACAAGCCAACCUGGCGCCUCCCCCUAGGGCGCGCCCCCCCGGGCUUGUGGGGCCCACCGCCCACUUCUGGCUCCCUCUUGAAGCUUCUAGUGUUACAUAUACUCCAUAAAAAAUCAUCGUAAGUUUUCA